rnacentral:rRNA from 1 species
GACGAACGCUGGCGGCGCGCUUAACACAUGCAAGUCGAACGGAAAGGCCUGCUUUCCCUUGUGGAUUGCGGGUACUCGAGUGGCGAACGGGUGAGUAACACGUGUGUGAUCUGCCCCCAACUUGGGUAUAAGCCUGGGAAACUGGGUCUAAUUCCCGAUAGGACUGCAGGGUGGUGCCUGUGGUGGAAAACGAUUUUCUAGUGGUUGGGGAUGAGCUCGCGGCCUAUCAGCUUGUUGGUGGGGUAAUGGCCUACCAAGGCGGCGACGGGUAGCCGGCCUGAGAGGGUGGACGGCCACAUUGGGACUGAGAUACGGCCCAGACUCCUACGGGAGGCAGCAGUGGGGAAUAUUGCACAAUGGGCGGAAGCCUGAUGCAGCGACGCCGCGUGGGGGAUGACGGCCUUCGGGUUGUAAACUCCUUUCGACCGCGAGGAAGCCACCUGGUUGGAAGGGUGGUGACGGUAGUGGUAGAAGAAGCACCGGCUAACUACGUG